AGCGAACGCUGGCGGCGUGCCUAACACAUGCAAGUCGAACGUGAAAGGGAGCAAUCCCAAGUAAAGUGGCGUACGGGUGAGUAACACGUAGGUAAUCUACCCCAGAAUCUGGAAUAACCGGCCGAAAGGCUGGCUAAUACUGGAUAGAGCGACGGAAUCCGUAAUUGGGUUUUUCGGGAAAGGGAGCCUGUAAAAAGGCCUUCGUUCUGGGAUGAGCCUGCGUCCCAUCAGCUAGUUGGUGAGGUAAAAGCUUACCAAGGCAAUGACGGGUAGCUGGUAGGAUAGGACGAUCAGCCACACUGGGACUGAAACACGGUCCAGACUCAUACGGGAGGCAGCAGUGGGGAAUCGUGCGCAAUGGGCGAAAGUCUGACGAAGCAACGCCGCGUGAGUGAAGAAGGCCUUCGGGUUGUAAAGCUCUGUCGAGUGGGACGAAAAUGCUUGGAGUUCACAGCUCCAGGAACUGACGGUACCAAUAAAGGAAGCACCGGCUAACUCCGUG
rnacentral:rRNA from 1 species